GGAUGUGAGGGUGAUCUGGCUGGGACAUCUGUCACCCCAUUGAUCGCCAGGGUUGAUUCGGCUGAUCUGGCUGGCUAGGUGGGUGUCCCCCUCCUCCCUCACCGAUCCAUGUGCGUCCCUCCCGAAGCUGCGCGCUCGGUCGAAGAGGACGACCUUCUCCACAGAGGAGAGGACCGGUCUUCGGUCAAGGGUAUAUGAGUAGCUGCGCUCCCCUGCUAGAACCUCCAAACAAGCUCUCAAAACGCACAAGGAAACCUCAAUGAUAUUUACAACUGAUUAGUCAAU
rnacentral:snRNA from 1 species